AUUGAACGCUGGCGGCAGGCUUAACACAUGCAAGUCGAGCGGGGUGAUGGUGCUUGCACUAUCACUUAGCGGCGGACGGGUGAGUAAUGCUUAGGAAUCUGCCUAUUAGUGGGGGACAACAUCUCGAAAGGGAUGCUAAUACCGCAUACGUCCUACGGGAGAAAGCAGGGGAUCACUUGUGACCUUGCGCUAAUCGAUGAGCCUAAGGCGGAUUAGCUAGUUGGUGGGGGUAAGGCCUACCAAGGCGACGAUCUGAAGCGGGUCUGAGAGGAUGAUCCGCCACACUGGGACUGAGGAACGGCCCAGACUCCUACGGGAGGCAGCAGUGGGGAAUAUUGGACAAUGGGGGGAACCCUGAUCCAGCCAUGCCGCGUGUGUGAAGAAGGCCUUAUGGUUGUAAAGCACUUUAAGCGAGGAGGAGGCUCUUUUGGUUAAUACCCAAGAUGAGUGGACGUUACUCGCAGAAUAAGCACCGGCUAACUCUGUGCCAGCCGCCGCAGUAA
rnacentral:rRNA from 1 species